AGUCGGCUGGGGAGAAAGGGGUUUGGCAUGGUGCAAAAAUGUCUCUCCUUUCUCCUCCUAG
ensembl:miRNA Mir6975 microRNA 6975